GACGGGUGAGUAACGCGUGGGAACAUACCCUUUCCUGCGGAAUAGCUCCGGGAAACUGGAAUUAAUACCGCAUACGCCCUACGGGGGAAAGAUUUAUCGGGGAAGGAUUGGCCCGCGUUGGAUUAGCUAGUUGGUGGGGUAAAGGCCUACCAAGGCGACGAUCCAUAGCUGGUCUGAGAGGAUGAUCAGCCACAUUGGGACUGAGACACGGCCCAAACUCCUACGGGAGGCAGCAGUGGGGAAUAUUGGACAAUGGGCGCAAGCCUGAUCCAGCCAUGCCGCGUGAGUGAUGAAGGCCUUAGGGUUGUAAAGCUCUUUCACCGGAGAAGAUAAUGACGGUAUCCGGAGAAGAAGCCCCGGCUAACUUCGUGCCAGCAGCCGCGGUAAUACGAAGGGGGCUAGCGUUGUUCGGAAUUACUGGGCGUAAAGCGCACGUAGGCGGAUAUUUAAGUCAGGGGUGAAAUCCCAGAGCUCAACUCUGGAACUGCCUUUGAUACUGGGUAUCUUGAGUAUGGAAGAGGUAAGUGGAAUUCCGAGUGUAGAGGUGAAAUUCGUAGAUAUUCGGAGGAACACCAGUGGCGAAGGCGGCUUACUGGUCCAUUACUGACGCUGAGGUGCGAAAGCGUGGGGAGCA
rnacentral:rRNA from 1 species